rnacentral:tRNA from 1 species
GCUGGGGUAGCUCAGCGGUAAAGCGCCCGCCUCGCAAGCGGCCGGCUGCGGGUUCAAGUCCCGCAGCCGGCU